rnacentral:rRNA from 1 species
UAGAGUUUGAUCCUGGCUCAGGAAGUCGUAACAAGGUAGCCGUAGGUCGUAACAGGGUAACCAUAGAGUUUGAUAUGGCUCAGCGACUGGGGUGAAGUCGUAACAAGGUAGCCGUAAGUCGUAACAAGGUAGCCGGAAGUCGUAACAAGGUAACCGUAAGUCGUAACAAGGUAACCGUAGAGUUUGAUCCUGGCUCAGCCUUUGACUUAAAAAAAUGGAGAAGUCGUAACAAGGUAACCGUAAAUCUGAA